rnacentral:rRNA from 1 species
UGACAGGUGCUGCAUGGCUGUCGUCAGCUCGUGUCGUGAGAUGUUGGGUUAAGUCCCGCAACGAGCGCAACCCUUGUCUUAAUUGCCAUCAUUUAGUUGGGCACUUUAAGAGACUGCCGGUGUUAAGCCGGAGGAAGUGGGGAUGACGUCAAGUCCUCAUGGCCUUUAUGCCCAGGGCUACACACGUGCUACAAUGGGCGGUACAAAGAGAAGCAACCUCGCGAGGGUGAGCAAAUCUCAAAAAGCCGUUCUCAGUUCGGAUUGAAGUCUGCAACUCGACUUCAUGAAGUCGGAAUCGCUAGUAAUCGCGGAUCAGCAUGCCCGCGGUCGAAUACGUUCCCGGGCCUU